rnacentral:rRNA from 1 species
UGAUCCUGCCGGAUCCGACUGCUAUCNGGGUAAGANUAAGCCAUGCAAGUCGAAUGGAAUCGCUGANUUCCAUGGCGAACUGCUCAGUAACAAGUGAUCAACUUACCCUUCAGUGGGGGAUAACCUCGGGAAACUGAGGCUAAUCCGCCAUAGUUGGCACACCCUGGAACGGGGUGCCCUCGAAGGAUAUUUCGAAAUGCCGAAUGUUCGCUGAAGGAUAGGAUCGCUUUCGAUUACGGUUGUUGGUGAGGUAAUGGCUCACCAAGCCUCUGAUCGAUAAGGGCCGUGAGAGCGGUAGCCCUGAGAUGGAUACUGAGACAAUGAUCCAGGCCUUACGAGGCGCAGCAGGCGCGAAACCUUUACAAUGCACGACAGUGUGAUAAGGUUACCCGGAGUGCUAAGAGAAAACUUUUAGCUGUUAUAGGUGUGUAAAUAACCCUAUGAGAAAGGAGAGGGCAAGGCUGGUGCCAGCCGCCGCGGUAAAACCAGCUCUUCAAGUGGUCGGGAAUAUUAUUGGGCUUAAAGCGUCCGUAGCCGGUUAGAACAGUUCCUGGUAAAAUCUGGCAGCUUAACUGUCAGGUCGCUAGGAAUACUAUCUUACUAGAGGGUGGGAAAGGUUUGGGGUACUCCAGGGGUAGCGGUGAAAUGCGAUAAUCCGUGGGGGACCACCAGUGGCGAAGGCGCCAGACUGGAACACGCCUGACGGUGAGGGACGAAAGCCAGGGGAGCGAACGGGAUUAGAUACCCCGGUAGUCCUGGCCGUAAACGAUGCGCGCUAGGUGUUGGUAGGGCUUUGAGCCGUAUCAGUGCCGUAGGGAAACUGUUAAGCGCGCCGCCUGGGAAGUACGCUCGCAAGAGUGAAACUUAAAGGAAUUGGCGGG